rnacentral:misc_RNA from 1 species
UUUCCGUAGGUGAACCUGCGGAAGGAUCAUUAUUGUAUAACCGAGGUGCGAGGGCUGUCGCUGACCCGAAAGGUCGUGCACGGCCAAAAGGUUGAGAAAGAAAUUUACAUUUUGUCGAGGUAGCGUUAUACUCGCUACUGAAAACUCAAACCAAUGAUAAACAACUCUUAACAAUGGAUAUCUUGGUUCUC